GCCGCCGUAACGAUGAAUGCUAGCCGUCUGUGGGCUUGCCCUUCGGUGGCGCAGCUAACUCUUUAAGCAUUCCCCCUGGGGAGUACGAUCGCGAGAUUAAAACUCAAAGGAAUUGACGGGGGCCCGCACAAGCGGUGGAGCAUGUGGUUUAAUUCGACGCAACGCGAAGAACCUUACCAGGCCUUGACAUCCCGGUCGCGGCUCCUUGAAAGAGGGGCCUUCAGUUCGGCUGGACCGGUGACAGGUGCUGCAUGGCUGUCGU
rnacentral:rRNA from 1 species